rnacentral:rRNA from 1 species
UACAGAGGUCUCAAGCGUUGUUCGGAUUCAUUGGGCGUAAAGGGCGCGUAGGCGGCUUGACAAGUCAAAGGUGAAAUCCCUCGGCUCAACUGAGGAACUGCCUUUGAAACUGUCUGGCUUGAGGCCGGGAGGGGGUAGCGGAAUUCCCAGUGUAGCGGUGAAAUGCGUAGAUAUUGGGAGGAACACCAGUGGCGAAGGCGGCUACCUGGACCGGUUCUGACGCUGAUGCGCGAAAGCGUGGGUAGCAAACAGG